AGUGUUGGUGUGACUUUAAAUUGUCUAUGGCGAUUUCACAUUGUUGGACAGUCGUUGAUAGUGCAAUUUGUCUAAAUCUGAAAGAUAGAAUAUAUAUAGUAUAAAAAUCAUACCUUCAAAGAGACCUUCAAUUGCAUCUAUUUCUCUGUUAUCAUAAUCAGUCAUGAAAAAUUGGGGUUUCCACUUGACGUUCCAUUUCUUUACUAUUUCCAAAGCUUUAUUACAGCAGAUUGACUUUCUGUAGCGGUUAUGAAAGAUGCAACAAUUGAAUGACCAAUGUCGGUUUGCACACAAAAGAAAAAAAAAGAUUGAAAAAUACCUGGUGCAUGACAGGGCUCUGUCUAUGUGAUUUUUUAAUGUCUCUGUCAUGAGGGUAAUAUCUUCUGUUGCAUUUGUCUAUCUGCUGACCUGGACAGAGAUCUCUGCUGACAAACAUUCUGAUGUGUCUUUUCAUUUCUUGGACCGUCCUUACUCUUUCUUCAAUUGUCAGCUGUUUUAUUUUUAAGAUUAUUUUACUGUCAACAGGCUGACAGAAUCAAGCAAGCUGUGACAAAACUUUGUUCAUUAAAAAGUAUAAAUUUUUAUUUUCGUGCUUAGCAUCUACAUCUUUGAAUUAGUUGCUUUUGCUUCUGCGAUUAAUCCUUGUAUGCCACAUUUAUGGGUAUCAUAUUUUUGGUACUCUACAGUUGCUUGCAAAUUCGUCGGUCAGUCUUGAAUUAGGUUAAGUUUUUAAUAGAAUUACUUUUUGAAAAAGUUGAAUUCCAAUCAAAUUGAAAUAUAGUGCUCAUGUUCACUAUGAUAUUUAAUUUUUAAUUUCGAUGUUGAGUUAUAGAUUACAUUACAAUAACAUGGUCGACGGAAGAUUUAAAAUUAAAUAAAAGACAACAAAUUUAAAUAUGAUACCUCAUCCAAUAAAUGAUUUGUGUCCAUUUCUGUCCGGCAGUAACAAGUGAAAUUGCAGCUGCUUCUCAAUAUUCAAAUCAUUAGUAAUUUGUGAUUUCAGAUUUAAGGAAGACUGUUUCCUGUACCAUUUAUCUUCAUAAUUGUCAACCUGUUGAUAAAGAUAACAAACUGAAGA